GAGCUCCUGGACUGUCCAUGCUGUGAUGGCAGGCAGGGUGUGCGUGCUGUUGGACAAAGACUGGAUUCUCAGUAACAACAAGAUCUCACUACUGAGAAACGCCUCCUUCUUUGGCCUGACAAUCCUGGAGAAACUGUAAGUAAGCCAUCUGCUGCAGGGAAUUUUUCUGUUUGUCUUCCCCUGAGCCAUAAUAGCUGUCAUCAUGAAAAUGACCCUGCCUGCGCUGUGAAA
rnacentral:lncRNA from 8 species